CCACCCCCCUCGUGCCCGCUCCGCUACGUAUUCCCGUAUUCCCGGGUGCCUGGCAACAGUGAUGUGCUUUAGGCCUUUUUUAGAAUGCAUACAAACGGAACCAUAUCUAAGUGAUGUCUGGCUUUUUUAACUUAGCACAAUGCUUUGAGAUUCAUACUAUUGUGUUUAAUUAGUAAUUCAUUUGUGUUAUUGUUGAAUGGUAGUCUAUCAUAUGGGUAAGCCACAGUUUAUUUAUCCAUUCACCAAUUGAUGGGCCUGUCGGUUGUAGGGAACAGGAGAAAACUUCCCCUUUGCCCUCUGAAGGGUCACCGAAAAUCAACUGACAAGGCUGGGCCUGGGCUCCUGCCUGUAACCCCAGCCCUUUUUUAGCCCAAGGCAGGAGGAUCUCUUCUUUGUGAAGUGUGUAUUCAAAUCUUUUGACCAUUUAUUUAUUAGCUAGCUUGACUUUUUAUCUAAGAGUUCUUUAUAUAUUAUUGAGUUCUUUAUAUGUUUCAUACCAUGUUCUUUAUUAGCUAUACGUUUUGAAAUGUUUUCUACCUGUCUGUGGCUUGCCUCUUCAUUUUAAGUGUCUUUUGAAGCACUGAAGUUUUCAAUUUUGAUGUAAUUUAUCCAUUUUUUUCUUUUACAUAGUUCAUACCUUUUUUGUCCUACUUAAGACAUUUUUGCUAAAUUCAAGAUUAUAAGAUUUCCUCAUUUGUUACCUUCUGGAAGUUUUAUAAUUGUUGGUCUUCAUUAUAUUUAAAAUGAAUUAUUCUUUAUAGUAUCGAUAGAUGCUGGAGGCAGAUAAGGGAGGGUCCCUGGAGAAUCUCUGACCUGCCUCACAAGCUUUUGUGCAGCUGAGGAAGCCUGCCCAGGGUCUUGUCUGGGCAUGCCCACAAGGGACUUGGGGGCCCACUGCACCAGGAGAGUGGGGUGCAGCCAGAGGGAAUUCAGCCUUAUGCAGCAGGGAUGAGCAAGAAGUCUUCAGCUUGUGUGUGUUGGCCUGUUAUUCAGUCUGUGAGCUGGGAGCCUGUUGGCAGGACCCUCCUUGUUUUUUUGCUAAGAGCUUUUAAUAAAUGCCACUCUUCACCUUGCAAUGUAUUCACAUGCCUAAUUGUUCCUGGUCAUGAGACAAGAACCUGGAUUUUAGCUGAGCUAAGGAGCAAAAAUUCCUGCAUCAGUAUGAGGUAAGAAUAAAGGUUCUUUUUUUUCCUUAUGGAUUUCCAGUCGUUCCAGCUUGCCUAUCCCCAUGGAAUUGCCUUGGCAUCCCUGUCAAAACUCAGCUGGCCGUAUAUUAUAACCUCAGAGCCAGCCCAAACUGGCCCUACUCUGUUGAUAACAAAAUGGCCAGUUACCCUGUAGGUAUAACAGAGCCAAAACUGCAAGUUAUGUAGACUGGGCAUGUGCCAUGGAAAAAGCUUUGACCUCUAACAAUGAAACGGGAAAGGUUCCCUUGUCCCCUUCGUAGGGCAUGCGGCAGUGGGAGUGGGUCGCUUCUUCAGUGCCCCACUGCUCACACCUCUAGGGGAGCAUACAGACAGGCAGGUUUUGGGGCUCCAACCCCACGCCAGUGUCUAGGGGUGGAUGUUUACUGCUCCUGAAGCACCAGUGGGCUGUGCUACUGUGUGCUUUUUUAGUUUUGCUGUCUAUAGGCACUUGUGUUAACCAGCUCAAUUAGA
rnacentral:lncRNA from 10 species